rnacentral:rRNA from 1 species
UAAACUCCUGUUGUUGAGGAAGAUAAUGACGGUACUCAACAAGGAAGUGACGGCUAACUACGUGCCAGCAGCCGCGGUAAAACGUAGGUCACAAGCGUUGUCCGGAAUUACUGGGUGUAAAGGGAGCGCAGGCGGGAAGACAAGUUGGAAGUGAAAUCCAUGGGCUCAACCCAUGAACUGCUUUCAAAACUGUUUUUCUUGAGUAGUGCAGAGGUAGGCGGAAUUCCCGGUGUAGCGGUGGAAUGCGUAGAUAUCGGGAGGAACACCAGUGGCGAAGGCGGCCUACUGGGCACCAACUGACGCUGAGGCUCGAAAGUGUGGGUAGCAAACAGGAUUAGAUACCCUGGUAGUCCACACCGUAAACGAUGAUUACUAGGUGUUGGAGGAUUGACCCCUUCAGUGCCGCAGUUAACACAAUAAGUAAUCCACCUGGGGAGUACGACCGCAAGGUUGAAACUCAAAGGAAUUGACGGGGGCCCGCACAAGCAGUGGAGUAUGUGGUUUAAUUCGACGCAACGCGAAGAACCUUACCAAGUCUUGACAUCCUGCGACGAUGCUAGAAAYAGUAUUUUYCUUCGGRRCACAGAGACAGGUGGUGCAUGGUUGUCGUCAGCUCGUGUCGUGAGAUGUUGGGUUAAGUCCCGCAACGAGCGCAACCCUUAUGGUCAGUUACUACGCAAGAGGACUCUGGCCAGACUGCCGUUGACAAA